ACGCUGGCGGCAGGCCUAACACAUGCAAGUCGAGCGGUAGAGAGAAGCUUGCUUCUCUUGAGAGCGGCGGACGGGUGAGUAAUGCCUAGGAAUCUGCCUGGUAGUGGGGGAUAACGUUCGGAAACGGACGCUAAUACCGCAUACGUCCUACGGGAGAAAGCAGGGGACCUUCGGGCCUUGCGCUAUCAGAUGAGCCUAGGUCGGAUUAGCUAGUUGGUGGGGUAAUGGCUCACCAAGGCGACGAUCCGUAACUGGUCUGAGAGGAUGAUCAGUCACACUGGAACUGAGACACGGUCCAGACUCCUACGGGAGGCAGCAGUGGGGAAUAUUGGACAAUGGGCGAAAGCCUGAUCCAGCCAUGCCGCGUGUGUGAAGAAGGUCUUCGGAUUGUAAAGCACUUUAAGUUGGGAGGAAGGGUUGUAGAUUAAUACUCUGCAAUUUUGACGUUACCGACAGAAUAAGCACCGGCUAACUCUGUGCCAGCAGCCGCGGUAAUACAGAGGGUGCAAGCGUUAAUCGGAAUUACUGGGCGUAAAGCGCGCGUAGGUGGUUAGUUAAGUUGGAUGUGAAAUCCCCGGGCUCAACCUGGGAACUGCAUUCAAAACUGACUGACUAGAGUAUGGUAGAGGGUGGUGGAAUUUCCUGUGUAGCGGUGAAAUGCGUAGAUAUAGGAAGGAACGCCAGUGGCGAAGGCGACCACCUGGACUGAUACUGACACUGAGGUGCGAAAGCGUGGGGAGCAAAC
rnacentral:rRNA from 1 species